GUAGGCCCGUGCCCCUGCUCGCGCUGCAGCCCGUGGAAGGGUUCCGUCCAGCGUAUCCUUCAGAUCUUGCUGUAGGCCUCUGGUGUCUGUGCGCGCGCGGCAGGGGCGGCGGCGGCGACGGCCGGAGGUGUACGUUGCUUCCUCUACUGAAGUCUUGAAACCCCUGAAAGUCAUCCCUGAGGUUUGAAGUUAACUUCUUCUACACCCUGUUAAUGUUGAUAUUUUGACCUCCUUCCAUGAAUCACAAAUGUUCUUAAUGGCAUCUAGAAUGAACAUGCAUCAUUAUUAGAACCAUCACCCUGCAGCUAGCUUGGAUACCAUUAAAAGGGCUCAUCAGCUGCAAACGGAUUAAAGUAUCUGAUACUCGGGAAGACAGAGUUUCAGGGUUUCUACCUGGAGCUACACCCUCAGGAAGCCCCUCCUUGGCCUCCCUGCACCCAGUCCCAUCCCAACCAGUCACAUCUUGGGCUGUGCGUGGUGUUUCUUGGAAACUGGAACACAGACUCCUCCAGCAGCUCCACAGGUCCCUUGUCCUCAAUGAGCAGAAGACUACAGGAGCUGGCUACUGAAGAGGCUGU
rnacentral:lncRNA from 1 species